rnacentral:rRNA from 1 species
GUACACGCUGUGACUAGCAUAUCAAUAAGCGGAGGAAAAGAAACUAACAAGGAUUCCCUCAGUACGGCGAGUGAAGCGGGAAGAGCUCAAAGUUUGAAAUCUUGAAAGGUCACCUUUCACGAAUUGUAGUUUAAAGAAGUGUUUUCUGUUACGAUCGUAAUAUAAGUUCUUUGGAAUAGGACAUCACAGAGGGUGAGAAUCCCGUCUAUGAUUGCGAUUUGUAGCUUUGUGAUACACUUUCAAAGAGUCGGGUUGUUUGGGAAUGCAGCCCAAAACGGGAGGUAAAUUUCUUCUGAAGGCUAAAUAUUGGCGAGAGACCGAUAGCGAACAAGUACCGUGAGGGAAAGAUGAAAAGAACUUUGAAAAGAGAGUUAAAUAGUACGUGAAAUUCGUCAAAAGGGAAGCGUUUAACACCAGUGUUCGUUUUCUGAAAAUCAACCUCUGUUAGCUUUAUGCAUGUUUGUUUAGACCUAAUCAGCUAUCUUUCAUGUUCUAUUGUUUGCAGUGGUGCACUUUUCAGUUUACAGGUCAACAUCAGUUUUUUUUACCGUAAAAAAGUUAAAGAAAGGUAGCUCAUGGCUCCGGUCGUGAGUGUUAUAGUCUUUUUCCUAUGCGGUAGGAGAGACUGAGGUCUGCAGUGUAGGCUAUUUGGCUAGAUACUCAGGUGCUAUGUGAUACCAUUUCAUAAACAACUUGUUGAUUAUGUUUUGUCUAUUGCAUACUCGCUUGUACUAUCAUACCUACGCUUAGGAUGUUGAGUAGCGACAUACGCAC